GAGGAUCCAAACUACACACUGGACAAACUCAAGAGGUGUAAAAUCCAGAAAAAUGGGGUCCAGUCAGGAGCAUUCAAAUUGAGAACAAAAGCAGAACACGACAGGCAAGUCGGUGAAUUGGUACGUGAUGGUGCUUUAAGUGAACAGUUAGCAGAAGAAAAAAGUAGAUCAGUCUAAUAUGUUAUUGUGUUUUGGUCUGUGUUUGCAAUUUUAUUUAUUUAUUUUUUUAAUUCACCUUUAUAUUUUAGUUUGCACCGCUUAUAUGCACCUUUCUAUUUUGCCCUACUUUGAAUAUUGUUUACAAAUAAAAGCUCUUGUUUA